rnacentral:rRNA from 1 species
UACAGAGGGUGCAAGCGUUGUUCGGAAUUAUUGGGCGUAAAGGGCGUGCAGGCGGUUUGUUAAGUGCAGGGUGAAAGCUCCCGGCUCAACUGGGAGAGGUCCUUGCAUACUGGCAAACUCGAGGGAGGCAGAGGAAAGUGGAAUUCCCGGUGUAGUGGUGAUAUGCGUAGAUAUCGGGAGGAACACCAGUGGCGAAGGCGGCUUUCUGGUCUGCUCUUGACGCUGGAGGCGCGAAAGCUAGGGUAGCAAACGGGAUAGAA